GAGGUGCUUGCACCUUUCAAGCGAGUGGCGAACGGGUGAGUAACACGUGGAUAACCUGCCUCAAGGCUGGGGAUAACAUUUGGAAACAGAUGCUAAUACCGAAUAAAACUUAGUAUCGCAUGAUAUCAAGUUAAAAGGCGCUACGGCGUCACCUAGAGAUGGAUCCGCGGUGCAUUAGUUAGUUGGUGGGGUAAAGGCUUACCAAGACGAUGAUGCAUAGCCGAGUUGAGAGACUGAUCGGCCACAUUGGGACUGAGACACGGCCCAAACUCCUACGGGAGGCUGCAGUAGGGAAUCUUCCACAAUGGGCGCAAGCCUGAUGGAGCAACGCCGCGUGUGUGAUGAAGGCUUUCGGGUCGUAAAGCACUGUUGUAUGGGAAGAAAUGCUAAAAUAGGGAAUGAUUUUAGUUUGACGGUACCAUACCAGAAAGGGACGGCUAAAUACGUGCCAGCAGCCGCGGUAAUACGUAUGUCCCGAGCGUUAUCCGGAUUUAUUGGGCGUAAAGCGAGCGCAGACGGUUGAUUAAGUCUGAUGUGAAAGCCCGGAGCUCAACUCCGGAAUGGCAUUGGAAACUGGUUAACUUGAGUGUUGUAGAGGUAAGUGGAACUCCAUG
rnacentral:rRNA from 1 species